rnacentral:rRNA from 1 species
AGGACGAACGCUGGCGGCGUGCUUAACACAUGCAAGUCAAACGGGGAUAUUCAGAUGAGAGCUUCGGCAGGAAUCAGGGAUAUUCGAGUGGCGGACGGGUGAGUAACGCGUGAACAAUCUGUCCCAGACAGGAGGAUAACACUUGGAAACAGGUGCUAAUACCGCAUGAGACCACAGUGUCGCAUGGCACAGGGGUAAAAGGAGCGAUCCGGUUUGGGGUGAGUUCGCGUCCGAUUAGCCAGUUGGCGGGUAACGGCCCACCAAAGCGACGAUCGGUAGCCGACCUGAGAGGGUGAUCGGCCACAUUGGAACUGAGAGACGGUCCAAACUCCUACGGGAGGCAGCAGUGGGGAAUAUUGGGCAAUGGGCGAAAAAGCCCGACCCAGCAACGCCGCGUGAGUGAAGAAGGCCUUCGGGUUGUAAAGCUCUGUUAUAGGGGACGAAGGAAGUGACAGUACCCUAUAAGGAAGCCCCGGCUAACUACGUGCCAGCCGCAGC